rnacentral:rRNA from 1 species
AUGGAUGACGAAGGGCGCCGCGUCUUCCCCGGCUCCCUGGAGGCGAGUGCCGAGGAGGCCCUCCAGCUCUCCAUGCGCCAGACCGAGUUCAUGUUGGAGAAAGACCCCGAGCAGGACCAGAAUUAUGUCCUUGGACCUAGUGCGGCUGCUACCCAGAGUUUCACCGAGCUCUUCAAUGCUCUUGCGAAGAAGACCAUUUUCCUCCUGGCAGAAGUUACCGAGAUUCACCUCUCAAAGGAUGCCACCGGCGGCGAGCGGAUGUCGGUGUCACUUGAGCUGGACAUGUUACGCGACAGGUGCGACGAACUGGCGGAGGAGGUGGUGAAAGCUCAGGUGUCCGACCAUGCGGCGAUCGGCGCUCUGCUCGGGAUCCAAACCCGCUUUCGCGUCGUCUUUACGUGUUGCAUCCAUGCUCAUGGACAUGGUGAUCUAGAGGCGAGCAUCAAGGAGGCCCUGGUGACCACCAUGACGGAUACGGAGCAGCGCGUCAAGCAUUACGUCGAGAAAGAGGCCAUGUACGCUGCUCGCCAGGAGAAGAACGGGGAGGCGGCGGAGGAGGUGGAGUAG